rnacentral:rRNA from 1 species
GACGAACGCUGGCGGCGUGCUUAACACAUGCAAGUCGAACGGAAAGGCCUGCUUUCCCUUGUGGAUUGCGGGUACUCGAGUGGCGAACGGGUGAGUAACACGUGAGUGAUCUGCCCCCAACUUGGGUAUAAGCCUGGGAAACUGGGUCUAAUUCCCGAUAGGACUGCAGGGUGGUGCCUGUGGUGGAAAACGAUUUUCUAGUGGUUGGGGAUGAGCUCGCGGCCUAUCAGCUUGUUGGUGGGGUAAUGGCCUACCAAGGCGGCGACGGGUAGCCGGCCUGAGAGGGUGGACGGCCACAUUGGGACUGAGAUACGGCCCAGACUCCUACGGGAGGCAGCAGUGGGGAAUAUUGCACAAUGGGCGGAAGCCUGAUGCAGCGACGCCGCGUGGGGGAUGACGGCCUUCGGGUUGUAAACUCCUUUCGACCGCGAGGAAGCCACCUGGUGGGAAGGGUGGUGACGGUAGUGGUAGAGAAGCACCGGCUAACUACGUG